AGUCGUGUCGCGAACACGUCGGGGCAACAUGUCGUAAAUCGCUUUAAUAAACUAUGAAUCCGUUGAUUUGUCGACCGGGGGUGAUUUACGGUGCGACCGUUGUGUUUGCAGAUAUCGACAGGCAGACGACUAUAAUCGACGCUUGAACAUUUGCGUUAGAGGCGACAAAUUAGGCCAAAAUGGACGAGCCUCUAAUAUAUAUGGUCUGGUUGUAAUAUCGUACCACGGGGAAUACGAGAAUGGAGAGAUUGGCCGGUUUGAUUUCUCCGCCAUGCCAAUGAGCACGCCAGUCGAUGUUGGGGAUCUCGGAAUUGUUCCAGCUAACGAUGGGCGUUCGAUGCCCUCAGAGUUCUUGAGCGAUUCGGUUGUGUAAGCAUUGGAAUGCUCCUGAAUGUCGUAAAUUAUGCAGAAGCGAAUUAUACAAUCAAAGAGAUAUCCAGAUGUAUAUUAGGUAUAUGGAUUAAUUAAAAUUUGUAUUAUUAUUAUUAUUAUAUAGUUGGAACGUCGAAUAAAUUUAUAUUUUUACGUAUAUGAAA